rnacentral:lncRNA from 1 species
GCCAUCUCAGAACUGUAAUGCACCCCAGGCUCCAUCAAGACACCUAUGCCUGCUGCUCAUCCAGUCCAAGCAGCGUCAGUGAGCUAGCGCAGCAUCAGUGACUGAGGGAAGAACGAAGCUCCCUCGUCACUGAAGAGUAAGCUAAGGUGGCUUUUCUCAGUCAGUCUGGUGAGAGGUAGGGACACAGUUAACAGCCUUGGAAUCCAGGACUCUGCUGCUGGAGUAGGUGGGGUAAAGUGCUGUGCAAGUCAAAGUCAAACUCUGGGACAGGGAGGGACACUGAUAGGAGCAAAAGGGGUGGGCGACCAAAAGACCCUGAUAGGAUGGGGUUCUAUCAAAACCUAGAAUGGAGCAGAACAAACUGAAAGAACGCAGCAGCCGCAUACGAAGGACAUACAUAGUGCGAGAGUGGGCUGCAAGGGCAGACCAUUUCCAUCGUCAUACCUCAAGCAUUUGGCACUCUUCCAUGUAAAUGAUUCUAAUUCUCCUGAAAUGUCUCUGAGGUAGGUAAGUGCUAGUAAUGACAUGAGUUCACACUGCACAGUGGCAAGGGCAGCACUGAGGAGGGGACUUAGUGCCAGACCAGCUCUAAAACACCCGCCUGCAAAUCUUCCUUUCAGUACAGUGCUUACACGCUGGCUGUUUGUUGUAGUCUUGCUUGUAAAGGGUGACAUUAAAUACUUUGUACCAAAAAGACCAAACCCUUUGUUGUUUUCUCGUCGGAAUCCACGGGAAGUGCGUCUCAGCCCUUCUCUACCUGGACGGUUUUGUUUCCCUUUGUCACGGAUCUCUUGGCCCAGGCUGCCACAGACUGCCGUCUCCAUGAAUCCUCCCAUCCCCCCACAUACACACAGCUCCUCCUGUCCUUCAUGGUCCUCGCUCCUGCUGUCAUCACGCCCACUUAUCUCUCUAUUGGACCACAAGGCUGACCACACUGCUCCCCACUUCAGAAUCCUCUGGACUGGGUUGGUACCCACAUGAAUCAGUAACUCAGCAGCGCACCCCAACACAAUCUCUUCCACAGUCUAAUACACAUAGGCUAAACCAACUAGUAGUUUCCACUCAUCAUAUGAAGUCACCCAGGAACCCAGAGAGAGUUAAUCGAUGCAGGCAAGCAGCUUGGUUACAACCACAGUUCCCGUCAUGGCCCCAUUUUAGAAC